AUGCGUUGUUGGGUAGGGGAGCGUUCUGUAAGCCUGCGAAGGUGUGCUGUGAGGCAUGCUGGAGGUAUCAGAAGUGCGAAUGCUGACAUAAGUAACGAUAAAGCGGGUGAAAAGCCCGCUCGCCGGAAGACCAAGGGUUCCUGUCCAACGUUAAUCGGGGCAGGGUGAGUCGACCCCUAAGGCGAGGCCGAAAGGCGUAGUCGAUGGGAAACAGGUUAAUAUUCCUGUACUUGGUGUUACUGCGAAGGGGGGACGGAGAAGGCUAUGUUGGCCGGGCGACGGUUGUCCCGGUUUAAGCGUGUAGGCUGGUUUUCCAGGCAAAUCCGGAAAAUCAAGGCUGAGGCGUGAUGACGAGGCACUGCGGUGCUGAAGCAACAAAUGCCCUGCUUCCAGGAAAAGCCUCUAAGCAUCAGGUAACAUCAAAUCGUACCCCAAACCGACACAGGUGGUCAGGUAGAGAAUACCAAGGCGCUUGAGAGAACUCGGGUGAAGGAACUAGGCAAAAUGGUGCCGUAACUUCGGGAGAAGGCACGCUGAUAUGUAGGUGAAGUCCCUCGCGGAUGGAGCUGAAAUCAGUCGAAGAUACCAGCUGGCUGCAACUGUUUAUUAAAAACACAGCACUGUGCAAACACGAAAGUGGACGUAUACGGUGUGACGCCUGCCCGGUGCCGGAAGGUUAAUUGAUGGGGUUAGCGCAAGCGAAGCUCUUGAUCGAAGCCCCGGUAAACGGCGGCCGUAACUAUAACGGUCCUAAGGUAGCGAAAUUCCUUGUCGGGUAAGUUCCGACCUGCACGAAUGGCGUAAUGAUGGCCAGGCUGUCUCCACCCGAGACUCAGUGAAAUUGAACUCGCUGUGAAGAUGCAGUGUACCCGCGGCAAGACGGAAAGACCCCGUGAACCUUUACUAUAGCUUGACACUGAACAUUGAGCCUUGAUGUGUAGGAUAGGUGGGAGGCUUUGAAGUGUGGACGCCAGUCUGCAUGGAGCCGACCUUGAAAUACCACCCUUUAAUGUUUGAUGUUCUAACGUUGACCCGUAAUCCGGGUUGCGGACAGUGUCUGGUGGGUAGUUUGACUGGGGCGGUCUCCUCCUAAAGAGUAACGGAGGAGCACGAAGGUUGGCUAAUCCUGGUCGGACAUCAGGAGGUUAGUGCAAUGGCAUAAGCCAGCUUGACUGCGAGCGUGACGGCGCGAGCAGGUGCGAAAGCAGGUCAUAGUGAUCCGGUGGUUCUGAAUGGAAGGGCCAUCGCUCAACGGAUAAAAGGUACUCCGGGGAUAACAGGCUGAUACCGCCCAAGAGUUCAUAUCGACGGCGGUGUUUGGCACCUCGAUGUCGGCUCAUCACAUCCUGGGGCUGAAGUAGGUCCCAAGGGUAUGGCUGUUCGCCAUUUAAAGUGGUACGCGAGCUGGGUUUAGAACGUCGUGAGACAGUUCGGUCCCUAUCUGCCGUGGGCGCUGGAGAACUGAGGGGGGCUGCUCCUAGUACGAGAGGACCGGAGUGGACGCAUCACUGGUGUUCGGGUUGUCAUGCCAAUGGCACUGCCCGGUAGCUAAAUGCGGAAGAGAUAAGUGCUGAAAGCAUCUAAGCACGAAACUUGCCCCGAGAUGAGUUCUCCCUGACUCCUUGAGAGUCCUGAAGGAACGUU
rnacentral:rRNA from 1 species